rnacentral:rRNA from 1 species
UACGUAGGGUCCGAGCGUUGUCCGGAAUUACUGGGCGUAAAGGGCGCGUAGGCGGUGUGUCAAGUCAGGCGUGAAAGCCCCGGGCUCAACCUGGGAACCGCGCUUGAGACUGGCACGCUCGAGUUCGGGAGAGGAUGGUGGAAUUCCCAGUGUAGAGGUGAAAUUCGUAGAUAUUGGGAGGAACACCAGUGGCGAAGGCGGCUCACUGGACCGGAACUGACGCUGAGGCGCGAAAGCGUGGGGAGCAA